GUUUAACACUGCAAGUCGAACGGAAACGAAAAUAGCUUGCUAUUUGGCGUCGAGUGGCGAACGGGUGAGUAACGCGUAGGAAUCUACCCAGUAGAGGGGGAUAGCCCGAAGAAAUUCGGAUUAAUACCGCAUAAUCUCUACGGAGUAAAGAAGGCCUCUUUACAAUGCUUUUACUAUUGGAUGAGCCUGCGUUAGAUUAGUUAGUUGGUAGGGUAAAAGCCUACCAAGGCGACGAUCUAUAGCUGGUUUUACGAGAAUGAUCAGCCACACUGGAACUGAGACACGGUCCAGACUCCUACGGGAGGCAGCAGUGAAGAAUAUUGGACAAUGGGGGAAACCCUGAUCCAGCAAUGUUGCGUGUGUGAAGAAGGUCCGAGGAUUGUAAAGCACUUUCAGUAAGCAAGAAAAAUGUAAAUCUAAUAGAUUUGCAUGUUGACCACUUAUAGAAGAAGCACCGGCUAACUCCGUGCCAGCAGCCGCGGUAAUACGGAGGGUGCGAGCGUUAAUCGGAAUUACUGGGCGUAAAGGGUAAGUAGGCGGUUUAUAAAGUCACAUGUGAAAGCCCUAGGCUUAACCUAGGAAGUGCA
rnacentral:rRNA from 1 species